GACGAACGCUGGCGGCGUGCCUAAUACAUGCAAGUUGAGCGCUGAAGGUUGGUACUUGUACCAACUGGAUGAGCAGCGAACGGGUGAGUAACGCGUGGGGAAUCUGCCUUUGAGCGGGGGACAACAUUUGGAAACGAAUGCUAAUACCACAUAAAAACUUUAAACACAAGCUUUAAGUUUGAAAGAUGCAAUUGCAUCACUCAAAGAUGAUCCCGCGUUGUAUUAGCUAGUUGGUGAGGUAAAGGCUCACCAAGGCGAUGAUACAUAGCCGACCUGAGAGGGUGAUCGGCCACAUUGGGACUGAGACACGGCCCAAACUCCUACGGGAGGCAGCAGUAGGGAAUCUUCGGCAAUGGACGAAAGUCUGACCGAGCAACGCCGCGUGAGUGAAGAAGGUUUUCGGAUCGUAAAACUCUGUUGGUAGAGAAGAACGUUGGUGAGAGUGGAAAGCUCAUCAAGUGACGGUAACUACCCAGAAAGGGACGGCUAACUACGUG
rnacentral:rRNA from 1 species